rnacentral:lncRNA from 1 species
GUUGGUAUUAUAUAACAUCAGUGAACUUCUACAACAUUUCUAUUACUCCAAAAAGCUCCUUCUUGUUACCUUUCAGGUAAGCCCCAUCAGCUUCCCAAGUCUGUGGCUUUAACAGCAAGGCACAGAUGAUGGACACAAAGGUUUUUUAAUAGAAGGAUUAUGAAGAGGGCAACAUGUAGUUUCUUAUAGUUAAAAGUUAAAACUAUAGAAAGAAUGCCUGGAUCUACCAGUCCCAUGACAUAACAGUUGUGUAUUGCAUGUUUCAUUUUAUGAGGUAACUACUGUUCUGAUUUUUAUCAUAAUAAAUUAUUUUGCCUGCUCUCAUACUUCUUAUAUGCACUUUGGUUUCUGGUUCCUUUCACUUAACAUGAUGUUUUUUGAGAUUUAUCCAUGUUUCUGAGUGUUUUAGUAAUUCAUUCUUUAUUGCAGAGUAUAUUCCACAUUUUCUUAAUCCAGUUUCCUUUUGAUAGACAGUUGGUUCAUUUCCAGUUUUUAUUUUCCAGACACAAACUUUUCUUUUUCUCCAAUAAUUACUAGAAAGCUGUUAUAAAUAUCCAUAUGCAGAUUUGAGUGGGGACAUAAGUUUUCAACUAUUUUAGAUAAAUACCAAAG